rnacentral:rRNA from 1 species
UACGUAGGGUGCAAGCGUUGUCCGGAAUUAUUGGGCGUAAAGCGCUCGUAGGCGGUUUGUCGCGUCUGCUGUGAAAUCUCGGGGCUUAACUCCGGGCCUGCAGUGGGUACGGGCAGACUAGAGUGCGGUAGGGGAGAGUGGAAUUCCUGGUGUAGCGGUGAAAUGCGCAGAUAUCAGGAGGAACACCGGUGGCGAAGGCGGGUCUCUGGGCCGUAACUGACGCUGAGGAGCGAAAGCGUGGGGAGCGAACAGG